AUUGAACGCUGGCGGCAGGCUUAACACAUGCAAGUCGAGCGAGCCGCGGAAGGGAGAGUAAUGUCUGGGAAACUUCCUGGUGGAGGAGGAUAACUACUGGAAACGGUAGCUACUACCGCACACCAUCAGAUGUGCCCAGAUGGGAUUAGCUAGGAGGUGGGGUAAUGGCUCACCUAGGCGACGAUCCCUAGCUGGUCUGAGAGGAUGACCAGCCACACUGGAACUGAGACACGGCCCAGACUCCUACGGGAGGCAGCAGUGGGGAAUAUUGGACAAUGGGCGCAAGCCUGAUCCAGCCAUGCCGCGUGUGUGAAGAAGGCCUUCGGGUUGUAAAGCACUUUCAGCGGGGAGGCGUUACUCACAGAAGAAGCACCGGCUAACUCCGUGCCAGCCGCCGCGGUAAUUC
rnacentral:rRNA from 1 species